AGCGCGACUCUGAGUAUAAAAGGGUCAUCCGCCCUUCGUUCGGUCUCGUUCCUCGCUUGGCUUGGUUUGAAGUCUUCCGAGAUGCCGGAAACUACUAAAGUUACCCGUUUUGGGCUACCACAAAGACUACUGGAGUUAUUUAAUAUGAUCCACUUGGCACUUGAAUCACCUACUUGACUGCCAGAAAAGGCAUUUCCUGUCCUUAUGCAGGUCAAAGGGCAGCAUGGCACAAGCAGGUGAAAGAGCAGCAUGGCACACGAUGAUUUCAUGAACCCUGUGUUGGAAGAAUGGAACAAUCACUUCUUGAUUAUGGUUGCCAAGAAAGCGGGAGUCUGUGGAAAAUAUCACGUUAGGAGGUAGCCCUACCCCUCCAUGUAGGUGCCACCAGCAAACAUGGUUGAGUUGAAGCAUAACUGGAUAUUACCUGGCUGACCUUGGUAUUAAAGCAGAAGAGUGCCCAUGCUGGACGGACUUAAGUGGAUCUUAGUUGCCAGACCAUAUAUAUUUUUCCACUACUGACAGGCUAUGCCAGGGAAAUUCCACUCGUGUGUACUUUGUUGUACAGCACGGAUGGUAACCACAUCACACAUGCAGGCAUGGCAGGAGAUGCUGAGUGAAAGAGGUGCUCUGCACUAGAGGUGGUGGAGGCGAUGCUUUGCUCAAGGACACAUCAACAAUGCCAACAAAGCAGACUAUCAUAUUGUCACCUUGUUGCCAUUUGUCUUUGGUAGGACUUGAUGUUAGAGUAUGAGUUUUAUUUAAAAUAAUUAGAAUUGUACUUUUCUUUACACUUGAAUUUGAAUCUGUAUCAAAAUUUUACAGCUUUGAUUGUGUUGAACAUUAAAGGUGAAUGUACACUUAUGUGACAAUGCAGGGGUGUCCGUUACAGCCAACCCACUCACUGAUCAUGAACCAGUAAACCGCUGAGGCCAAAGUGAAAGUUUUUUUUGAAGUUUACCUUGUAUGAGCUGAAUAAAAGUGUUUUAAACGUCGAA